AUUGAACUCAAUUUUUGCUGGGAAUGAAGAUGUAAAUGUUUUGAAAAACUAGAAUCGCAUUUUCCUAAAUUUUAAAAAUGAUUGUUCUUCACCAAUUCCAGAUGGAUUCUUUAUUCUUUGCCAAUGGGUUGCAGAUGCCCACUGUUUUAACCAAGUUGGUUUACUGCGUAUGAAAUGAACAUUUGCCGAUUAAAGCUUAAAUAUUGGAAGAAAUUUCUCCUGGGGCAUUCCACGCGUCUUUGCAAUAAUUACUAAAUUAGUCAAUUGCCACCUCUGUAAACAAACUUCGUUUAGAAAACAGCAGGCGAAAGCAGACUACACAUGUAGUCAUAAUUGACCAAAAGUAUGUACAAAACUGUUUAAAAUUGGGGAAAGAGUGAUUUAUGCUGGAGAAUGCAGUCUAGACCUGAAUUAUUUUACUUUACGGUGAAGGUAGUUGUAUUGAAUGUGUUAAGAUGUGCAAAUUAAGCCGGCGAGCGAACCAAAUAAAAAUACUAAAUGCCC
ensembl:lncRNA novel transcript